GAUGAACGCUGGCGGCGUGCCUAACACAUGCAAGUCGAGCGAAGCGGGGACGGGUGAGGAACCGGUAGGUACCCUCCUAUAAGACUGGGUACACUUAGGGGAACCGGAGCUCAACAGGACACUUAUUGAUGGAUCCGCGCUGCAUUAGCGAGUUGGUAAGGUAACGGCUUACCAAGGCAACGAUGCAUAGCCGACCUGAGAGGUGGAUCGGGCAAACUGGAACUGAGACACGGUCCAGACUCCUACGGGAGGCAGCAGUGGGGAAUCUUCCGCAAUGGGCGAAAGCCUGACGGAGCAACCCCGCGUGAGUGAUGAAGGUCUUCGGAUCGUAAAACUCUGUUAGUAGGGAAGCGGUACCUAAUCAGAAAGCCACGGCUAACUACGUGCCAGCAGCCGCGGUAAUUC
rnacentral:rRNA from 1 species